rnacentral:rRNA from 1 species
UGCAAGCGUUAUCCGGAUUUACUGGGUUUAACAGGUGUGAAGGCGGCCUUUUAAGUCAGUGGGGAAAUCUCCGGGCUCAACCUGGAAACUGCCAUUGAUACUAUUAGUCUUGAAUUUUGUUGAGGUAGGCGGAAUAAGUCAUGUAGCGGUGAAAUGCAUAGAUAUGACUUAGAACACCAAUUGCGAAGGCAGCUUGCUAAACAAAUAUUGACGCUGAGGCACGAAAGCGUGGGGAUCAAACAGG